ACCGAUACGAACGACUAUGACGUCAAGAUGCGCAAUGUUUUCCGGUUCCUCGAAAACGGCGACAAGGUGAAAAUCACAUUGCGGUUCCGCGGGCGCGAAAUGGCGCACCAGAACCUCGGUCGUGAGUUGCUGGAGCGGGUCGCAGAAGACACCAAGGAAGCCGGGCGCGUCGAAAACUUCCCCAAGAUGGAAGGCCGCCAGAUGGUGAUGUUGAUCGGGCCGCUUCCAAGGUAGGCAGUUUUCCGACAUUAAACCGAUACCAUCAAACGCGUUUGCCGGUUGCAAGCGCGUUUUUUCUUUGCGGAAUGGUCCUA
rnacentral:misc_RNA from 1 species